rnacentral:rRNA from 1 species
CCUACGGGGUGCAGCAGUCGAGAAUCAUUCACAAUGGGGGAAACCCUGAUGGUGCGACGCCGCGUGGGGGAAUGAAGGUCUUCGGAUUGUAAACCCCAGCCAUGUGGGAGCAAAUUAAAAAGAUAGUACCACAAGAGGAAGCGACGGCUAACUCUGUGCCAGCAGCCGCGGUAAUACAGAGGUCUCAAGCGUUGUUCGGAAUCACUGGGCGUAAAGCGUGCGUAGGCUGUAGCGUAAGUCGUGAGUGAAAGGCGCGGGCUCAACCCGGGAACGGCACAUGAUACUGCGAGACUAGAGUGCAGGAGGGGGAACCGGAAUUCUCGGUGUAGCAGUGAAAUGCGUAGAUAUCGGGAGGAACACUAGUGGCGAAGGCGGGUUCCUGGACAUUAACUGACGCUGAGGCACGAAGGCCAGGGGAGCGAAAGGGAUUAGAUACCCGAGUAGUC